rnacentral:lncRNA from 1 species
ACGUUAAAACUUUAGAAUCAGGUGGGAGGUGGUGGUAGUCACAGAACAAAUGGUCAAAACAAAGAUCUUACAAGGUUAGAAGCAUAGGACUUUAUGUUAGGCCAUAUUCACCCCAAUCCUGGGCAUGUGUAGUUUGCUAUUUGGUUUUCCUGGCAAGCCUGAGAAGGUGGUGGUUAUACAUAUACAGUUCCGAGUCUCCAGGUCACACCUAUACCUCUAAGAGGAGCUGUUUAUUUCCCCAUCCCAGUGAACUGGUAACUCAAGUUGGAAACUGUGUCUCAUUCACAAUUACAGAUGACUUAAUAAUAACAACACGUAAAUCCCUAGAAAUAAGACUCACAUUCAGAAGUCUCCUAAUCCCGUGGGAAGCCAUCUCUCAGAGGAACAGUGUCUGAUAAUCCACUUUCAGCCAACCUAGAAAAUUUCUAUCUUCAUAUUUAACAAUGCAUCCAUGAAUGCUACCGUGAAAACUCAGCCCAGACUUCCAUUAUACAGAAAUAAAUUUCCUCCAUUCAAGACUAAGAUAGCA